UGCAACCGACGGGAAGCGUCGGCGUUUGGCGGCUGCCGGGGCUUCCCCGAGGGAAAAGAACGGAACGGAGCGAAUCGCCUGGCACCACUUCCGGGCCUUGUCCCCAAAACCUGGGGCUGCGUUCGGCUCUUUGAUCCGCUUUGCUUUUAAACUUCCAAAAAUACUGUCUGGAGGAGGACUCGGACGUGCCUGGCUCCGCUCCCUGCUCAGCCCGUGCGGCUCAGCCGGCCGCGGGGCUGCUGGAGCUCCGGAGCUGCCUGAGGGGUUUGGGAAGGAGCCGGCGCGGGGCCGGGUGCUGGGGGCUCACUGCUCCCCCAGCACUGAGCUGAUGGGCUCUGGGUGCCCCACAGCUUUACCUCUGGUGCUGAGCACAGCUCUGAGAAAAUGUCAGCAUCCCAUUACUUCGUCCUGUGCCUCAUCAGAAGAGCUGCAUUCUAUUUUUCCAGAAUAUUUGCUUAGAAGAUUCAUUUCUUGGAAACCGGCCAGAAUCCAGCAAUGCUCAUAUUAAAGCACAUCAAGACAUUUUAAAAGCGCUACAACAUUGGCAUGACAAUCAUGGAGAUCAUUUACUGAUGGUGAACUCUGCAGCUGAAUCCAAUCAGGGUUGUGAAAUGGUCCUUUCAGCCUCCUCUGACUCAUAAUAAUAAUAAUCUGGUCUUAGAUUUUGCAUUUGACUGUGGCUCUUAAUAGAGGGUUGUAGAGAGAUGCACCUGCCAGAGCUCUGUGCCAGCCCAGAGGAGAGGGAUGGACGAGCCUGAAAUAUUUCAUAUGUUCAUCACGUGCCUUUCCACCUCACCAUGUACCUUGUGCGCAUUCUACCCAAGGGAACAGGAGAUUCCAACCUCCCUUGGCCUGGUCCAUGUGCUCCAUACUCCUUUCUACAAGGCAGAGCUAAGGGUGUCCGGCCUCUUCCCUUCCUGCCCUGCAGAGCUUUUGGUUUGGCUGAAUUUAGGACAGUAGUUUAAACGCAAGGUAGUCUUAACACCUGUGCCAGUGAAAUUGCUUGUCUGAUUAUUUUUUGCCACUGAUUCAUUAUUAAAUCUGUUUGGGUUACCUAAUGGACUGUGGGAGCAGCAGCGAUCAAAUACAAGGAAGAAAGAAAAUACAUCUCCUGUGUGGGAGUGUCCACAGCAUGAAAUUACCCAGCUGCUUACAGAACCCAGCGUACUUGGGGAAGGAUAAGCAGGGGAAAGCUCAGCAUCUCUACCCUCAUUAAUUCCUCUAGGUCUGAGACACCAUGCUGUGUGUCCACAGCCAGGUCAAGGAGAGCAGCUGCAGCGUGGGAGCAGGUCUGUCCUGCCUUCUGCAGCUACCCCAUAACCCAGAGAAAGGGAGAGGAGCAAACCAGGAGGACUACGUUUGAUUUACUUCCUCUACUUUAGCCCCUGUUCGGGGGAGGAAUAACAAGUGCCACUGUGGACAGACUAUCAAUGUGAUAUUGAUGUGUUUCGGUAAUUUAAUACGAAAUAAAUUAAGCAACCACUGAAAACACCUUACUACAUUGUUUGGUGGCCAGAACGUGUCCCCAUUCUGUCUUCCUGAUCAAGAUCUUGAUUUAAUAAAGGUUAAAAAAAGGA